UUAAAUUCUCUUUUUCCCUUCCCCCCUCCUUCGGUGACACCCUCCCCUCCUUCAUUCUUUCAUUUUCUUUCUAUUUCUUCCCAACAACUUGAAACCCUCUCUUCCUCUUUCCUUCUCAUUCAACUAUUUCAUCUUCUCAUCUCUUCUUGCAAUUACACACUAUUAUCAAACUCAUCUUCAUCAUCUUACCUUUCUUUCUUUUUCUACUCUAUCUCUAUUUAUUCAAAAUUUCAUUUUCUCAAAACCCCAAACCAUGAAAUGUCAACUUAAUGAGUGAAAGAAGCAUUCAACUUUGACUUCUAAUUAUUAUUGAGACUUCAAGAGUUGUAGAAUUAUUGGACAUCAUUUGGUAGCUCGUUGACGCGCUCAUAGUUGCUUCUGGUUCUUUGGAAUCAAGUUAAAACCGUAGUUAACGGCGGUUAUGACGUUAACCUAGAUGCAUCUGGCUCAGACCUCAGCUAGCAGGGGCGUUGCUAGCCUAACGUGUAGGCCACACGUUGGAUCUGUUAUACCAUACGGGCACACUAGAGGAAAGGGCUACCCUUAGAGGUGGAGCUGCCCUAGAUACAGGAGUCAUUCCAGGUUCCAUUCCACCUGCCCCUCAGUAGAUCUUAGUCGUUUUGGUGAGCCCUUCUUCUUCCCAAGGGCUAAGUAAUUAUGUAAUGGAACCUUUGCUCAAAAUUUAGAUUAUGUCAAUGCUCCAUAUGUCACAGGCAGGAUCCUCGUGUGGGUUAUGUUAUUUUAAAUCUUGAACUGUUUAGGUAGUAAUUAUGAUUUGGUUAUGUAAG